rnacentral:rRNA from 1 species
UACGGGGGGAGCAAGCGUUGUUCGGAUUUACUGGGCGUAAAGGGCGCGUAGGCGGCCAGCACAAGUCAGUUGUGAAAUCUCCGGGCUUAACUCGGAAAGGUCAACUGAUACUGUGCGGCUAGAGUGCAGAAGGGGCAACUGGAAUUCUCGGUGUAGCGGUGAGAUGCGUAGAUAUCGAGAGGAACACCUGCGGCGAAGGCGGGUUGCUGGGCUGACACUGACGCUGAUGCGCGAAAGCCAGGGGAGCGAACGGG